UUCUCGAGAAAAAAAAGAAGAAAGAAAACACUCCUAGAUUUCACAAAGGACUUUAAGAAACGAUAGGAAGUAAGUUCAGUUGAAGAAAAGAUACGGAUUUAGGGAAAUCAGACGCUCGAAUUGCCAUGAUAACUCAACAGAAAAGGUAAA